AACGAACGCUGUCGGCAUGCCUAACACAUGCAAGUCGAACGAGACCUUCGGGUCUAGUGGCGCACGGGUGCGUAACGCGUGGGAACCUGCCCUUAGGUUCGGAAUAACUCCCCGAAAGGGGUGCUAAUACCGGCUAAUGUCUUCGGACCAAAGAUUUAUCGCCUUUGGAUGGGCCCGCGUUGGAUUAGCUAGUUGGUAGGGUAAAAGCCUACCAAGGCGACGAUCCAUAGCUGGUCUGAGAGGAUGAUCAGCCACACUGGGACUGAGACACGGCCCAGACUCCUACGGGAGGCAGCAGUGGGGAAUAUUGGACAAUGGGCGAAAGCCUGAUCCAGCAAUGCCGCGUGAGUGAUGAAGGCCUUAGGGUUGUAAAGCUCUUUUACCCGGGAUGAUAAUGACAGUACCGGGAGAAUAAGCUCCGGCUAACUCCGUG
rnacentral:rRNA from 1 species